UGAUGAUGAUGAUGAUGAUCAUGAUGAUCAUGAUGAUCAUGAUGAUGAUGAUGAUGAUGAUCAUGAUCAUGAUCAUCAUCAUGAUCAUCAUCAUGA